CACACACUUACACGUACACGUACACGCUGAGGAAAGUAAAACUUGUCAUAAAAAUUAAAAUCAAAUUCGACUUAACUGCCAGCCACAGCAUUGCAGCUCCAACAAACUUUCGGGUCGAUAAGCUGGCAACAGGCGGCGCAGGGCGGUCUCCAGGUGGAUCCAUAAACAAAGCCUAAUCCAAAACCCAAAACCGAAGCCAGUACCAACCUCAACACUUUCCUUUCGACGCCCGUUGCGUUUGGCUUUUUAUGGACUCGAAAUUUAACGCCAUUUGAUGAGAGUUUGAGUGCGGGUUUGGGCUUGAGAUUUGUUUGUGGCUCUUUUAAUUAAAAGUAAAACCAGGUUAAGUAUUGAGCAAAAGCGCAGCAUGUGUUGCCCCUCCAGAAAGACGGAUCUCUCGUCUCUCAUCGGCCAUUAAAGGCGCGCGUAAAUCUCCCGCUUGGCCAACUACAAAGGGCCAUCAAAUCAAAGUUCAUUAGUUGUGAAAACACUAGUCGUCAAAUCUCAGAUGCCUGAUAUUGUAUUCUAAAUCUGUGAUUGUCACUGCCGGCAAACGGGGAUCCAUCAUACUGAUUUUGUGGGCAAAUGCAGCUGCCAAUUCUGAAAUUAGGCUCGCUGUUCUCCCUCGCUUUUGGCCAACUGGCAAAAGACGAAAUUUCGUCUCGCUCAAAAUCCAAUUUGAAAUGCGAUCUGGAACGAAUGACGAAUACACACCGGGAAAACGGGACAAACAGGACACGACCUGGCCUCGGACCUGGACCUGGACAAUGGCAAAGCGUGAAAAUCCUUUUGAGCACAAAUUUUCCUUUGUCGAGUCGAAGGCAAGAAAACUCAAGUGUGAAAAUUACUUGUGGCGGCAUUCGCAUCUGCAAAAAUUCCAAUGCCCCACUGACAGGCAUCCGCAAAAUCCUAUAAUUGGAUUAGAGCCCAUGGAAAAAGGCCAACUUUCAAAUGGUAUUCGGUGUUAAUCUGUGCAACUAUCCCAGAUUUAGGUCAGCAGCGCACAGCCCCCAGCACAUUUCAUUAUAAUUAUAAUUAUUAUUGAAAAAGUUCGCAUCAUAAAAACCAAACUGUGCCGCACCUUCAACCGAACUUUUUAAUGGCCAACAAUGCACUGGCGCAGCCUCUGCCUCUGCCCCUGCCUCAGUCCCAGUCAGGGCCCCAAACGAUCCACUGCCAGAGAGCUAAUGAAAACUCCCCGUCGCGUUAAUGAGUCAAAGUGCUGAAAUUAUUUGCAUUCACUUUGCCGCUCGAUAUACAUAUGUAUGUAUGUAUGAAUUUAUUGUGGCCGUGCACGAAAGUUCAUAAAUCAGCAGAUCCGAGAGUUUUUCAAUGAAACCAAAGCUAAAAAGAAAUUUUCAGAGAUAGCGAGAGGUCGAUGUUGCUGCUGGCGCUGGAAAAAUGCUGCGCGGUGCAGGGCAUGCAAAAAGUUAACCAUUCAAAUUAAGCUUAAAUUAAUUGCUGGCCAGCAAAAAAAGUAACUCAAACACAACUAGUUUUUGCUCCAAAAUGUUGCCAACUAAUUGAAAAUAUAUAUCACGCAUGCCACAUGUGGGGGUCGGUUCGCAUAUGCAGAGUGCCAGCCGAGCACCGCCCCUACCGCACCGUAACGCCUCCGUCGACUACGCUCCACAUGAGUGGAAAGUGGUUCAGUGGUGCAAUUGAAAUUGCAAUUGCAACUGACGGUGGGCGCCACCACCUUUUUUUUGGGGGGGAAACUGGUUAGCGCUGCAAUUUAUUUUGGCACAGCAAAAUGCCAUAAAAUCGAAAAUUAUAUGGUAAAGUUAAUUAAAAGCCAGAGCAACUCUAUU